rnacentral:sRNA from 1 species
AUUGAAAUUUCAUCAGCAUGUGAUGUGGCAAGCUAAUUUUAGAACGUUCACAAGAUGUCUACGCGAAAACGUGUUAAUUUGGUCCGUUGACCGUGGAAUAACGCGUUCGAAGAGAAAAGAAAGAAAGAAACAGUUUGACAGAGAACGCUGUAAAAUGAGAAUCUAUAAUGGAGACCACUUUGAGCGGUGGACACGUUUUAGAAACUUCAUGUUUAACUAGGGCUUGCCGGCUUCUUGCUAUUAGACAGGCAAAGCAUCAAGGAACAUAGAAAAGUGAUUUGUUACCAGAGUAUGAUGCCCGUGGAACGUAUCAAAUCAACUCCCUCUGAAAUUUAUGAGAAUUCUGCCUUUUCAAGCUACAGGAUCUGCAACUUUCGCCGUAAAACAUAUUUCCCUGGGAUUAAUCAAAAGGUGAACGGCUGUCGUUGUUUAUUUGUUAAAUUUUUCUGAAAUUUUUUCUUAUCUGAUAAAUUGAGUAGGAGGGAAUACGCCCUUGCAUUUAGAAAAAAUAUUGAUAUGUAGACACGUCAUUCUAAGAAGAAAAAAAUCCAUGGUCCUAUAUCAACCAAAUUAAUUAGUAUUUGAUAGCUAUAAACUUCAUAUAUUUAUUGACAAUUUUGAAUUGUCAAACUGGUAUAUAAAAGUCAUUUUAGAUCAAGAAUUUGGUUUAUGACUAAUGAAGAUAUACAAGUUCUUGAACAACUCAGUGAAAUGAUUCUUAAAGGACAUAUCGUAUGUCUCUAAAGUAUGGGACAGUUUGCACAUAUAUACCUGUACAUGUAUUUUUUUAUCUCCACUUAUUACCAAUUUUUUCAUGUGUUUGCCAACUGUAUGGUUUAUUCCCAGAUUUUGAAUAAAGAGUAUUAUAGA